rnacentral:misc_RNA from 1 species
GAUGAAGAACGUAGCAAAAUGCGAUAAGUAAUGUGAAUUGCAGAAUUCAGUGAAUCAUCGAAUCUUUGAACGCACAUUGCGCCCGCCAGUAUUCUGGCGGGCAUGCCUGUUCGAGCGUCAUUUCAACCCUCAAGCACAGCUUGGUGUUGGGACUCGCGUUAAUUCGCGUUCCCCAAAUUGAUUGGCGGUCACGUCGAGCUUCCAUAGCGUAGUAGUAAAACCCUCGUUACUGGUAAUCGUCGCGGCCACGCCGUUAAACCCCAACUUCUGAAUGUUGACCUCGGAUCAGGUAGGAAUACACGCUGAACUUAAGCAUAUCAAUAAGCGGAGGA